GAUGAACGCUAGCUACAGGCUUAACACAUGCAAGUCGAGGGGAAACGACAUCGAAUUCUUGCUUUUGAUGGGCGUCGACCGGCGCACGGGACAGUAACGCGUAUCCCAUCUGCCCAUCACAUGGGAAUAACCUUGCGAAACUAAGACUAAUACCCAUUGUUAUCCCACGAAGGCAUCGGAAUGGGACUGAAGUUUUAUCGGUGAUGGAUGGGGAUGCGUCUGAUUAGCUUGUUGGCGGGGUAACGGCCUACCAAGGCAACGAUCAGUAGGGGUUCUGAGAGGAGGGUCCCCCACAUUGGAACUGAGACCCGGUCCACGCUGCUACGGGAGAGAGCGGUGAGGAAUGUUGGUGAAUGGAGGAGAGCCUAAACCAGCCAAGUAGGGUGCAGGAAGACGGCGCUAGGGAUUGUAAACUACUUUUAUAAGACAAUAAUGUGAGUCACGUGUGACUUUUUGCAGGUACCUAAUCAAUAAGGACCGGCUAAUUACGUG
rnacentral:rRNA from 1 species